GACGAACCGUGCGAACGUUGUUCGGAAUAACUGGGCUUAAAGGGAGCGUAGGCGGGCUAACAAGUCUGGGGUGAAAUCCCGCGGCUCAACCGUGGAACUGCCUUAGAUACUGUCGGCCUCGAGGGAGAUAGGGGCAUGCGGAACUAACGGUGGAGCGGUGAAAUGCGUUGAUAUCGUUAGGAACUCCGGUGGCGAAAGCGGCGUGCUGGAUCUCUUCUGACGCUGAGGCUCGAAAGCUAGGGGAGACA
rnacentral:rRNA from 1 species